rnacentral:lncRNA from 1 species
AUAAUAAUUAUAAUUAUAAUUAUUAUUAUUAUUAUUAUGACAUGGUGAAUAAUAUUGCAUUCAUACAUACUGUUAGCAACUAUUAGCACCUGUCCUCUUCCCAGUACAACAUGACGUUACAUUACUGUCUGAGAGAAACAAACAAAAAACAGAAACAACAAACAUCUAUGAAGGGUCCACACUUGUGCACUAAGCGUUGCCUGCCCUCGGUCUUCAUGCUAAGGUGGUCGAAUAAAAGCCAAUGAGCAGGCUAGAGAGGAUUUGAAGAAAACUGGCAGAAAUGUCCAUUAUGUUUUUGUUGUGUUUGAAUGCUUAUUCCAAGGCUUACAUGUUAAAUAGACUGAAAUUUACUACAACAUAGCUCCCUGUUCGACACAGCUUUAUU